UACAGAGGGUGCGAGCGUUAAUCGGAAUUACUGGGCGUAAAGCGUGCGUAGACGGUUACAUAAGUCGGGUGUGAAAGCCCCGGGCUCAACCUGGGAAUUGCAUUCGAGACUGCGUAGCUAGGGUGCGGAAGAGGGUCGCGGAAUUCCCGGUGUAGAGGUGAAAUGCGUUGAUAUCAGAAGGAACGCCGGUGGCGAAAGCGACGGACUGGACCUCUUCUGACGCUGAGGCGCGAAAGCUAGGGGAGCAAACGGG
rnacentral:rRNA from 1 species